GCAAAUGGCAUGCAAAUGAGAGCCUGCUGAAGGGAAGGGCCUGCCAGCUGCUCCACAGAUUGCUCCGGCUCCCGUGAUGGGGAUGUUGAAGGUCGUGGGAUUGGCAGCCCAUCAGUCAACAAGCCUGGAACUGAAGGCCUGUUGUUCAGCUUGUCCAAAUGCCCCAUUUUACAGAUGAAGAAACUAAGGUCCGGGGAGAUGGAGUCACUUUCCCCAAGGCACACAGGUGGUCAUCCCCAGAGGAUCGUGGCACCUCAGACCAAGAAGAGACCUGCUCGGCCAUCUGCUCCCUCCCACACCUGAACAAACAGCCAAUACACAGUAUCCGUGGCCUGUAGAAAGCUAGUUUUUGCUUCUCUCCUCCAGAACUUCAGAGUCUCCUUCUGGAUUUAAGUACACUCUCUCCCGCCAUCUGAAUCUGAAUCCCUCCCCAGUCUGGCUCUAGGUGACCCGUCCAGGCUCAGCACACAUGUCUGCUCUGCACACACUGUGUUAGUGUUGGUGCCCAGUACUCCCCAUACAAUGCAUGACCUUCCACCCCCAUUUCUGGACCUUUACACAGCCUGUCCUCUGCACUCCAAAUACACUACCCUGCUUACUUUUGCCUCAGAAUCCAUGGACCCCUUCGAGGGUCAGCUGAGAUACCAACUUGUAAGAGGCCUCUUCUAGAAAAAGGGAAGCAAUUGAUAGGGGUGGGGGUGGAGGUUGGAUCAUUUCAUCAAAAGUCUCUGCAAAGUGUCUUCAAUCCAAGAUAUAAAGGGUACUCACAUAUGAGACCAAUAGUAAUGGAUAGCUGCUCAAAGGAUGUAAGCAAAUAGUUCUCACAAGAAGACUUGUAAAGUACUAAAAAUUGCUCGAAAUCACUAAUGAAAGGAGACAUAUAAACUGAAACAGUUCUAAGGUUUUAUCCCUGUUCAACAAAUUGGAGAUGAUGAAAAUGGGAAUCAUCAAUGUUGGUGGGGCUGUGGAAAACUAGGUGCACUGGUACAUUGUUGAUAGAGCUAUGAAUUGGUCCAAACAUUUUGGAAAGGAAUUUAGAAUUAUGCAAAUAAAGCGUGCCUACCCUUUGGACUCUAGAUUCUA
rnacentral:lncRNA from 1 species